CCCAAUAGAUCGGGAUAACACCUGGAAACAGAUGCUAAUACCGGAUAACAACAGAUGAUGCCUAUCAACUGUUUAAAAGAUGGUUCUGCUAUCACUCUUGGAUGGACCUGCGGUGCAUUAGCUAGUUGGUAGGGUAACGGCCUACCAAGGCGAUGAUGCAUAGCCGAGUUGAGAGACUGAUCGGCCACAUUGGGACUGAGACACGGCCCAAACUCCUACGGGAGGCAGCAGCU
rnacentral:rRNA from 1 species